rnacentral:rRNA from 1 species
UGAACGCUGGCGGCGUGCCUAAUACAUGCACGUCGAGCGAACGGACGAGAAGCUUGCUUCUCUGAUGUUAGCGGCGGACGGGUGAGUAACACGUGGAUAACCUACCUAUAAGACUGGGAUAACUUCGGGAAACCGGAGCUAAUACCGGAUAAUAUUUUGAACCGCAUGGUUCAAAAGUGAAAGACGGUCUUUCUGUCACUUAUAGAUGGAUCCGCGCUGCAUUAGCUAGUUGGUAAGGUAACGGCUUACCAAGGCAACGAUGCAUAGCCGACCUGAGAGGGUGAUCGGCCACACUGGAACUGAGACACGGUCCAGACUCCUACGGGAGGCAGCAGUAGGGAAUCUUCCGCAAUGGGCGAAAGCCUGACGGAGCAACGCCGCGUGAGUGAUGAAGGUCUUCGGAUCGUAAAACUCUGUUAUUAGGGAAGAACAUAUGUGUAAGUAACUGUGCACAUCUUGACGGUACCUAAUCAGAAAGCCACGGCUAACUACGUG